GAGUUUGAUCCUGGCUCAGGAUGAACGCUAGCGGCAGGCCUAAUACAUGCAAGUCGAACGGUUGGUGGCAAUACCAAUAGUGGCGCACGGGUGCGUAACGCGUAACCAACCUACCCGAAUCUGGGGGAUAGCCCGCCGAAAGGCGGAUUAAUACCGCAUAAAACUGCAGCCUGGCAUCAGGUAACAGUUAAAGAUUUAUUGGAUUCGGAUGGGGUUGCGUGCCAUUAGCUAGUUGGCGGGGUAACGGCCCACCAAGGCGACGAUGGCUAGGGGAGCUGAGAGGCUGGUCCCCCACACGGGCACUGAGAUACGGGCCCGACUCCUACGGGAGGCAGCAGUAGGGAAUAUUGGGCAAUGGACGCGAGUCUGACCCAGCCAUGCCGCGUGCAGGAUGAAGGCUUUCUGAGUCGUAAACUGCUUUUACCAGGGAAGAAAAAAGGGGAUGCGUCCUCUACUGACGGUACCUGGUGAAUGAGCACCGGCUAACUCCGCGCCAGCAGCCCGCGGUAAUACGGAGGGUGCAAACGUUUGUCCGGAUUUAUUGGGUUUUAAAAGGGUGGCGUANGCNGCUUGAUUUAANUCUGGGGGUGGGAAACCCCGUUGCUCAACAAACGGAACUGGCCCUGGAAA
rnacentral:rRNA from 1 species